CGUAGGGUGCGAGCGUUAAUCGGAAUUACUGGGCGUAAAGCGUGCGUAGGCGGUUCGUUGUGUCUGUGGUGAAAGCCCCGGGCUUAACCUGGGAAUUGCCAUGGAAACUGGCGAGCUGGAGUGUGGCAGAGGAGGGUGGAAUUCCGCGUGUAGCAGUGAAAUGCGUAGAGAUGCGGAGGAACACCGAUGGCGAAGGCAGCCCUCUGGGCUAACACUGACGCUCAGGCACGAAAGCGUGGGGAGCAAACAGGAUUAGAUACCCUGGUAGUCCACGCCCUAAACGAUGGCAACUAGGUGUUGGGGAAGCGAUUCUCCAGUACCGUAGCUAACGCGUGAAGUUGCCCGCCUGGGGAGUACGGCCGCAAGGUUA
rnacentral:rRNA from 1 species